UUUAUCAAGUUUGAUAACAUUCUUCGAUGUUUUAUUCCUUCAUAAAAGAAAAAGAAUAAUUAACAUAAAACGGGGGUCUCGCUCGUUGGUGGAAAUUAAUCCUCGGGUUCACAACACGAACUUACGACAGCCAUGCAACACUUAUGGUUCCUACUAAAUAAGAUAAUCCUACUUAGUUACAUCGGAACCAGACGGGGUUGGUAAGAUUCUUCGAGGGUCAUCAAUUUGCACAACGUGCUCCACUGCUUGUAAGUGCCACCGUCAAUUCCUUUGAGUUCCAACCUUGCGAUCGUAUACCCCAGGCAGAUUAUUUAACGCGUUUGCUGUUAAGACCAGACGAUUUACAUCCAAUUUUUAAUAAUCAUCGUUUACAGCAUGGACUAC
rnacentral:misc_RNA from 1 species